rnacentral:rRNA from 1 species
CAGUGGCGAACGGGUGAGUAACACGUGAGCAAUCUGCCCCUGACUCUGGGAUAAGCGCUGGAAACGGCGUCUAAUACCGGAUAUGAACUGCGAAGGCAUCUUCAGUAGUUGGAAAGAAUUUCGGUCAGGGAUGAGCUCGCGGCCUAUCAGCUUGUUGGUGAGGUAAUGGCUCACCAAGGCGUCGACGGGUAGCCGGCCUGAGAGGGUGACCGGCCACACUGGGACUGAGACACGGCCCAGACUCCUACGGGAGGCAGCAGUGGGGAAUAUUGCACAAUGGGCGCAAGCCUGAUGCAGCAACGCCGCGUGAGGGAUGACGGCCUUCGGGUUGUAAACCUCUUUUAGCAGGGAAGAAGCGAAAGUGACGGUACCUGCAGAAAAAGCGCCGGCUAACUACGUGCCAGCAGCCGCGGUAAUACGUAGGGCGCAAGCGUUAUCCGGAAUUAUUGGGCGUAAAGAGCUCGUAGGCGGUUUGUCGCGUCUGCUGUGAAAACUGGAGGCUCAACCUCCAGCCUGCAGUGGGUACGGGCAGACUAGAGUGCGGUAGGGGAGAUUGGAAUUCCUGGUGUAGCGGUGGAAUGCGCAGAUAUCAGGAGGAACACCGAUGGCGAAGGCAGAUCUCUGGGCCGUAACUGACGCUGAGGAGCGAAAGGGUGGGGAGCAAACAGGCUUAGAUACCCUGGUAGUCCACCCCGUAAACGUUGGGAACUAGUUGUGGGGUCCAUUCCACGGAUUCCGUGACGCAGCUAACGCAUUAAGUUCCCCGCCUGGGGAGUACGGCCGCAAGGCUAAAACUCAAAGGAAUUGACGGGGACCCGCACAAGCGGCGGAGCAUGCGGAUUAAUUCGAUGCAACGCGAAGAACCUUACCAAGGCUUGACAUAUACGAGAACGCUGCAGAAAUGUAGUUCUCUUUGGACACUCGUAAACAGGUGGUGCAUGGUUGUCGUCAGCUCGUGUCGUGAGAUGUUGGGUUAAGUCCCGCAACGAGCGCAACCCUCGUUCUAUGUUGCCAGCACGUAAUGGUGGGAACUCAUGGGAUACUGCCGGGGUCAACUCGGAGGAAGGUGGGGAUGACGUCAAAUCAUCAUGCCCCUUAUGUCUUGGGCUUCACGCAUGCUACAAUGGCCGGUACAAAGGGCUGCAAUACCGUAAGGUGGAGCGAAUCCCAAAAAGCCGGUCCCAGUUCGGAUUGAGGUCUGCAACUCGACCUCAUGAAGUCGGAGUCGCUAGUAAUCGCAGAUCAGCAACGCUGCGGUGAAUACGUUCCCGGGUCUUGUACACACCGCCCGUCAAGUCAUGAAAGU